rnacentral:rRNA from 1 species
UACGUAGGGUGCGAGCGUUGUCCGGAAUUACUGGGCGUAAAGAGCUUGUAGGUGGUUUGUCGCGUUGUUCGUGAAAUCUCACGGCUCAACUGUGAGCGUGCGGGCGAUACGGGCAGACUAGAGUACUGCAGGGGAGACUGGAAUUCCUGGUGUAGCGGUGGAAUGCGCAGAUAUCGAGGAGGAACACCGGUGGCGAAGGCGGGUCUCUGGGCAAUAACUGA